UUAAAACAUGCCUCCAGUCACGUCACAUAAAUGCACCCGUGGUUCUUAACACAUUUCAGCUUCGUUGGGAUUUCGAUUUGGGUCACAUAAAUGUGCACCUGAAUUUAGGAAAAUAAUGUUAUUAAGCACGGACCUAGAAAAGAUACGCAUUAUUAACUUUGCGGGGGACAUGGAAUUUGCUAAAUGGCAUGCCUCUGAAUCUAAAUAUAAACCAAAUCAAUUUAAACGAGGGCCAUGCAUUUGAGAAUUUUGUUCGGCACGACACACCUCGAUUUAUUUUAAAAAUCACAACUAUUAUUUUUCUAAUGUUGAUAUUAUUACGAAGAGUUAUGGAUAUGAAUUGUGACAUACGGGUAAGCCUCAAACUGAUUUUAUCGUAAUUAAACAUUUUUCCAAAAUCGAACAAAUCACAGUCACGUCCAAUGAAUAAGCUAAAACAAAUGCUAACUAACACUCAAAAUGACGCCACUUAAUAUUACUAAAGAAAAAAAAAUAAAAAGAUACUACAUGAAACACCUUUUAUCAAACAAACUUUCCAUGAAAUAGUUGGCAAUUAACUCCAUGUGUAUACAUAAUCGGAUAAUACAAAUCGGAUAUCAAACAAUACGAAACGCACAGCAUCACACUUUCAACAAAGAAAUGGUGAAGUAGCUUCAACUGGGCUCCAACCAUGUGACAGAAUAUUUAACAAAACAGUAAGGUCCAAUAAUUGGCCCUGAACCACGAAAAUCGUGCGAUUAUCAGAAUUAUAUUCUACUCAUCACAUCUUGAUUGUAUUAAAAAAAUAUCAACAUUUAGAGCCGAAAUUUAAACAACGAACGGACCUCAAAUGGCGACAAUCUGAACAAAGACGACAACAAAUCAGACGCGAAACCACAAACCUCGUCCUCUAGCAACACAGCUGAACCAGGCUACACCAACAAAGCUCCACACAAAAUCCAUGAAUGAAAAUCGAAACCAAAAACUAUUAUUUUUGACUCUCUGUAUGUGUGUGCGCGACUGAAAAUUGGUAGGAAGAUGAAGGUCCAAUGGUGUGUUUAUUGUCGAUUUCCUAACCCUUUCUUUCCUUCACUCCUCUCAUAUCUCUCUCGUGUAUCUCUGCAGGUGUGUGUGUUUUUUGUGAAGGAAUUUCCAUUUUAUUGAAUGGAGUAGGUCGUUUGGAGGAAGAAAACUCCAGAGCUUUUGUUUGAAGAAGCCUAGAUGCUGGUUCUCUUUUGGAGUUAUUGCCGGAUUCAGGCGAGCUUGGUGGUAAAUGGAGGAGCUGGUGGUUGCUGGUUCAUUUGCCGGCAAGUGAAGUAGAAGGGUUUGUUGUUUUUGUUCCUUGGGGUGCUGCUGGGAGGGCUGUUGUUUUCUUGGUUAAGCAGAAGCCAUGAAAAUUGGCUCUUCUUCUUUGUAGAAGAAGAUGAGAUCGACAGAGGGGUGUGUGGUUCGGAGAAGAUGAUCUUCAGCGGGUCCCUUUUGGGCGCAGCCCCUCUUCAGGCGUAUAUCUAUCAGCGUGUCUGUGUAAUAUGUAUUGGGUCUAGGGUUUUUUAGGUGGGGGAAUGAGUUUGUGUACUGGGUCAGGUCGGGUCGAUCCAGUUUGGAGUUGGGUAGGGGCUGAUUUGGGUUGGGGUGAGUUAUAUGGAUUAGAG
rnacentral:lncRNA from 1 species